AGUAACGCAGAUUCCAAUGAUAAGAUGAGUGAGCAGGAUGCAAGAACAUCUUAAAGAUCACCUGCCGCACUUGUGUUUGAGGUGCUCAAUGGCUGUUUACACCAAGUGCCAUCUGGCUCUAUAGAUAUAAUAACAAUUAUUCCAUCGAGCAAUUUCGAGUGCAAGUGCCACAGUGUCAGCUAAAGAAACACAACUGCGGGUUUUCUGCCCAGCAAAAUGGUUCUGAAAUGUUACUGAAUAGCUCACAGAGGACGCCAAUCUACGACAACAGAGACAUAAGCAUAUAGGAGAAAGGGUCCACACAUCCUCCUUUCAAAGUGUGGAGAAAAGAGAGAGAAAGGGAGAGAAGAGUCAUGGACCCUACUUUAUGGUUGCCAUGGAUGCAAGGUCAGCCUUCCACCCUUGGAUCUACCAGCAGAGUUCAGACAGGUCAACGUGUGACCGGCUCAGGCCCUGGGGUUAAAAGUUCAAGCAGCGAUGGAAAAACCAAUAUGUCCACACAGAGUAUGCUGUACAAUUUAUUUCAAUUUACAUCAAGCCAUGCAUAUAAAAUUUAGAUAAAUUCCAUUCAGAUCUGAUGUUGCCUGACACACAAUGUAUGCAAACAGAUGUCUGUGGGGCUUUUUCUGUGCUUUAGAAAACAACAUUAAAUUUAAAAAUAUGUCUCUGGGAUUUCUUUAUUGAAUUACAAAAUGAACAUAAUUUUAACUUAAAUGUUUUCAUUCUUUCUUCCAAUUUUUUUGUGUGGGGGUCUUAAUAAUUUCUCAGUUCUCAAUCUACUCUAUGUCAUAUUAAAGAGGAUAAUGUAUAUUUACAA